CAAGGAAGGCAGCAGGCGCGCAAAUUACCCACUCCCGGCACGGGGAGGUAGUGACGAAAAAUAACGAUACGGGACUCAUCCGAGGCCCCGUAAUCGGAAUGAGUACACUCUAAACCCUUUAACGAGGAUCAAUUGGAGGGCAAGUCUGGUGCCAGCAGCCGCGGUAAUUCCAGCUCCAAUAGCGUAUAUUAAAGUUGUUGCGGUUAAAAAGCUCGUAGUCGAAUUUGUGUUUCGCGCCGCCGGUUCAUCGCUCGCGGUGUUCAACUGGCGUGUCGCGGAACGUCCUGCCGGUGGGACCGGGCGUUCGCGUCCGGCCCCAACUUUAAAUCCUGCCGCGGUGCUCUUCAUUGAGUGUCGAGGUAGGCCGGCACGUUUACUUUGAACAAAUUAGAGUGCUCAAAGCAGGCUAAAAUUUCGCCUGAAUAUUCUGUGCAUGGAAUAAUGGAAUAGGACCUCGGUUCUAUUUUGUUGGUUUUCGGAACCCCGAGGUAAUGAUUAAUAGGAACGGAUGGGGGCAUUCGUAUUGCGACGUUAGAGGUGAAAUUCUUGGAUCGUCGCAAGACGGACAGAAGCGAAAGCAUUUGCCAAAAACGUUUUCAUUGAUCAAGAACGAAAGUUAGAGGUUCGAAGGCGAUCAGAUACCGCCCUAGUUCUAACCAUAAACGAUGCCAGCUAGCGAUCCGCCGACGUUCCUCCGAUGACUCGGCGGGCAGCUUCCGGGAAACCAAAGCUUUUGGGUUCCGGGGGAAGUAUGGUUGCAAAGCUGAAACUUAAAGGAAUUGACGGAAGGGCACCACCAGGAGUGGAGCCUGCGGCUUAAUUUGACUCAACACGGGAAACCUCACCAGGCCCGGACACCGGAAGGAUUGACAGAUUGAGAGCUCUUUCUUGAUUCGGUGGGUGGUGGUGCAUGGCCGUUCUUAGUUGGUGGAGCGAUUUGUCUGGUUAAUUCCGAUAACGAACGAGACUCUAGCCUGCUAACUAGGCGUAUUUUCGACAUCCGAAAGGCCAGGCUGCCGUGGCGCUCGCGCCUCGGUUGUCCGCGGUUUUUGCUGUCGGCGUACAACACAUUCUUCUUAGAGGGACAGGCGGCUUCUAGCCGCACGAGAUUGAGCAAUAACAGGUCUGUGAUGCCCUUAGAUGUUCUGGGCCGCACGCGCGCUACACUGAAGGAAUCAGCGUGUCUUCCCUGUCCGAGAGGACCGGGUAACCCGCUGAACCUCCUUCGUGCUAGGGAUUGGGGCUUGCAAUUGUUCCCCAUGAACGAGGAAUUCCCAGUAAGCGCGAGUCAUAAGCUCGCGUUGAUUACGUCCCUGCCCUUUGUACACACCGCCCGUCGCUACUACCGAUUGAAUGAUUUAGUGAGGUCUUCGGAUCGGUACGCGGCAGCGUUCACGCGUUGCCGAUGUUGCUGAAAAGAUGACCAAA
rnacentral:rRNA from 1 species